rnacentral:sRNA from 1 species
AUGUACCACGCGUACAUGCCGUUUCCUCAGCGCCGUCCACAGCCACCUGACGACUGCUACGGCUUGAUUAGCC